rnacentral:rRNA from 1 species
AUUGAACGCUGGCGGCAGGCCUAACACAUGCAAUUCGAACGGUAACAGGAAGAAGCUUGCUUCUUUGCUGACGAGUGGCGGACGGGUGAGUAAUGUCUGGGAAACUGCCUGAUGGAGGGGGAUAACUACUGGAAACGGUAGCUAAUACCGCAUAACGUCGCAAGACCAAAGAGGGGGACCUUCGGGCCUCUUGCCAUCGGAUGUGCCCAGAUGGGAUUAGCUAGUAGGUGGGGUAACGGCUCACCUAGGCGACGAUCCCUAGCUGGUCUGAGAGGAUGACCAGCCACACUGGAACUGAGACACGGUCCAGACUCCUACGGGAGGCAGCAGUGGGGAAUAUUGCACAAUGGGCGCAAGCCUGAUGCAGCCAUGCCGCGUGUAUGAAGAAGGCCUUCGGGUUGUAAAGUACUUUCAGCGGGGAGGAAGGGAGUAAAGUUAAUACCUUGGCUCAUUGACGUUACCCGCAGAAGAAGCACCGGCUAACUCCGUG